UACGGAGGAUGCGAGCGUUAUCCGGAUUUACUGGGUGUAAAGGGAGCGUAGACGGCAGUGCAAGUCUGGAGUGAAAGGCGGGGGCUCAACCCCCGGACUGCUCUGGAAACUGUACGGCUGGAGUGCAGGAGAGGUAGGCGGAAUUCCUAGUGUAGCGGUGAAAUGCGUAGAUAUUAGGAGGAACACCAGUGGCGAAGGCGGCCUACUGGACGGUGACUGACGCUGAGGCUCGAAAGCGUGGGGAGCAAACAGG
rnacentral:rRNA from 1 species